GCGACUUAUAUAUGUUUUUUUCCUCAUCAUGACGUAUUUUUGGACUGAUGCGAUUUAUACUCCGGUGCGACUUGUAGUCCGAAAAAUACGGUAAGUGAUUCACUCAUUAAAAUCUGACUAGUACUCAGGCAGUGUGCGAUAUUCUCUAUCAGCCGUGAUGUGUCGUUGCGCUGUUUUCUUUCAAACCAAAGUGUAAAUACACGUAAAAAACUUAUCCUUGUGGUGUGGCUGACACAGAAGAGUGUAAACCGCCUGCAUACUUGUCAGAUUUGUCAAAAUGGUGCUAUGAUGAUUUGGAGAGACACAGAGGAGAGGAAUUGUUUAAUAAAGUAAUUAUUUUUUUUUAUUUCUUUGUGUACAAAGAGUAUUCUCAUCACUUCACAAUGUUACGAUUGAACCAAUGUUGGCAGAUGUUGGCAAUGUUGGACUAAUUCAAUAAUAUUUUAAACAGUUAUUUCAACUUCCACCAAAGUCAAUUUCUGGUAAGACAUCUGUACUUUUCCUUGAGUAUGGCUUUUCAUACACCACAGGUCAUUAUACCUUUCAGUUGAUUUAGGUGAUCAGAGCCUGGAGUUCAUCCCAUCAAGUCCUGUCACCAAAAAGCCUGGAGAAACUCUGAAUCUCUCGUGUAAAGGAUCUGGAUUUGAUUUUGGACAGUACGGCAUGCACUGGAUCAGACAGUCAGCAGGACAAACAUUCAUCUGGAUGGGGGUUAUCUGGUAUGACGCCAGUAAAACAGUGUAUGCUAAAAGUGUAGAGGGACGAAUAGAGAUCACUACAGACAAUUCAAACAGCAUGGUGUACCUGAAACUUUCUGGUCUGAUAACAGUAGAUACAGUUGUUGCACUGUUCAUACACAAAAUGCUUUAAUGUAUGUAAAUAUUUCUCCUCCUCCUCUUUAUUUGAGUUUUAAGAUGAAAAGAAGCAGCUUGUUCUCAUUCGUCUCAAACCAUGAUCUCUUCAUCUCUCUGGUUGUUGCUGCUGCUGGCAGCUGUUUCUCGUGUCCACUGUGUUGAACUGACCCAGACUGAUUCUAUGGUCUUAAGUCCUGGUCAGGUUUUCACACUGUCCUGUAAACUCUCUGGAUAUACAGUGUCUGACAGAAGCUACUGCACUCACUGGAUAUGGCAGCCUGCAGGAAAAGCUCUGGAAUGGGUUGGAGAGAUAGGUAGUGUUGGUAGCACAUAUUACAGUGAUAAACUGAAAAGUAGAUUUCAAAUUGCAAGAGACAUUUCCAGCAACACAGUGACUCUGCGAGGACAGAAUAUGCAGACUGAGGACACAUCUGUGUAUUACUGUGCCAGAGAGAGAGCACACAGUGAUACAAAACACCAGCAGUUCUGGUUAAAAACAUCUUGA